AGCUUAAAGUUUGAUUCUUGCUUAUGGUGUUUAUAUUAUGAUUGAAAAAUACAUGAAAAUUAUAGUGUUCUUUUAUGUUWUAAAUUAAAAAUUUAUGUAACAUUAAUCUCAGUAUUUAGUUUUAAAUAUUAAUUAAAAUUAGAGUUGGUAAUCAUUUUAAUCCUGACUAAAAUUUGUGCCAGCAGUCGCGGUUAUACUUAGGGGGUAAAUAAAUACAAUUUGGUAUUAUAGUAGACUGUUAGUUAACUAAAAUUUAUUAUUUUUUUUAAAGGGUGAAAUCAGAAUUUAAUCAUAAUAAUAAUUUUAAAA
rnacentral:rRNA from 1 species